AGCUCGUGUCGUGAGAUGUGGGUUAAGUCCCGCAACGAGCGCAACCCUUAUCCCCAGUUGCCAUCAGGUAAAGCUGGGAACUCUGGGGAGACUGCCGGUGAUAACCGGAGGAAGGCGGGGAUGACGUCAAGUCCUCAUGGCCCUUACAUCCCGGGCUACACACGUGCUACAAUGGCAGGUACAGAGGGCUGCGAAGCCGCGAGGUGGAGCGAAUCCCAGAAAACCUGUCUCAGUCCGGAUUGAAGUCUGCAACUCGACUUCAUGAAGGCGGAAUCGCUAGUAACCGCGAAUCAGCAGGUCGCGGUGAAUACGUUCCCGGGCCUU
rnacentral:rRNA from 1 species